rnacentral:rRNA from 1 species
AUGGGACUCUCAGCGACCUUUGAGCAACCAAGUGAGUGGUCUAUUACUGGCGGGACAGGUGAUCUUGCGAUGGCGCGUGGUGUAGUCAAGGUGAAAUUCCAUGAGGUGGUAAAGGAUGGAGACACAUGGGAGCUUAGCUUCCAUGGAUUUUGCAACAUGCAGAGCUUGCCCACUCUCACAAAGGCUGGCCCAUGGGGUGGACAUGGUGGUUCAGGUACGGACUCAGAACAGCCAUGGCGCAUAGAAAGUAUGACGAUCGUCCAUGAGGGGACAAUUGCUAAGUUUUCAUGCACUUACGUUGACCUGUCCGGCAAGAGGCGCACCACGGGUUCUUGGGGUGGUGGUAAUGGUAUCCCCACAAAGGUCCAGCUGGGGCCUCGGGAGAUUUUGAAAGCAGUAUCCGGAACACAUAUCAGCCUUAACAGUGGGCAGACUGUCAUUGAGUCACUGAAGUUUGUCACGAACGAAGGAAUGUACGGACCAUUUGGACGUACAACCGGUACUCCUUUCAAUGCUCAUGUGCCAGAAGACCAAAGCAUCGCCGGCUUCUUUGGGCGUGCUGAUGAUACGCAACUCAUCGCGUUUGGUAUUUACAUGGUUUGA